CGUAAAGGUAAUAUAAUAGGUAGUAUAAAUAAGCACGUAUAGCAAAGAGACUCGAACCACAACAGUUGCCCCUAAUAGCUUUUGAAUCUAAAGGUUCGGAUCCUGUUCUGUAUCAGCCAAAUCAAGUACUUGAGUUAUGGAGAAACAGAAUUUAGACCUCUACUGGCGUAAUAUUCAGAUUAUGCAGGAGAAUGACAGGCUAAGGAAGACUGCUCAACGUCUCAGACAGGAGAACGAAGUAUUGUAUUCCGAGCUUAAACAGAGACUAGCAGCGGCAAGAAUUAAUCAAUUACCUGAACUUGAGCUCACUCUGGGCCCCACUCCUUCUGCAGAUCAAUCGAAACCCAAGAAUCCUCAGCCACCUCCACGCAGCUGAAGCGAUUCCAAAUGCUUCUCCCUGGUGUCGGUCCAAGCUCAAGGUUAUGGAGUGUUUUUAAGUAUUACUGCUGCUCGUGUUGUCGCAAAAUAGAUAUCUGCUGUAUGAAACAAAAUGGUUUAUAGGAAUAAGUACUGAUAAAUAAAGUGUAAGCGUAUCUGUAUUAGUUAAUGAGGUAUUGUUGUGCAGUUCUUUUUUGAUAUUUGAUCAGUUUCUUUAUC